CCUACGGAGGGCAGCAGUGAGGAAUAUUGGUCAAUGGGCGGAAGCCUGAACCAGCCAAGCAGCGUGCAUGAUGACGGCCCUACGGGUUGUAAACUGCUUUUGUACGAGGGUAAACGCAGAUACGCAUCUCUGUCUGAAAGUAUCGUACGAAUAAGGAUCGGCGCACUCCGUGCCAGCAGCCGCGGUAAUACGGAGGAUUCAAGCGUUAUCCGGAUUUAUUGGGUUUAAAGGGUGCGUAGGCGGUCGGAUAAGUUAGAGGUGAAAUCCCGGGGCUCAACUUCGGAAUUGCAUCCGAUACUGGUAGGCUAGAGAGUAGUUGAGGUAGGCGGAAUGUAUGGUGUAGCGGUGAAAUGCUUAGAGAUCA
rnacentral:rRNA from 1 species